rnacentral:rRNA from 1 species
AUGAAUGCUGGCGGCGAUGCCUAAUACAUGCAAGUCGAGCGGCAGCGAGGGUCUCAUCCUGUCUUGAAGCUUCGAGAAUAGAAUGAGAUCUGUCGGCGAGCGGCGGACGGCUGAGUAACGCAUGGGAACGCACCCCAAACUGAGGGAUAACCAGUCGAAAGAUUGGCUAAUACCGCAUGUGAUCUUCGGAUUAAAGCCUUCGGGCGGUUUGGGAGCGGCCUGUGUACGAUUAGAUAGUUGGUGAGGUAAUGGCUCACCAAGUCGACCGAUCGUUAGAUGGUUUGAGAGGAUGAUCAUCCAGACUGGGACUGAGACACGGCCCAGACUCCUACGGGAGGCAGCAGUAGGGAAUCUUUCACAAUGGGCGAAAGCCUGAUUGGAGCAAUGCCGCGUGCAGGACGAAGGCCUUCGGGUUGUAAACUGCUUUUAUAAGCGAGGAAUAUGACGGUAACUUAUGAAUAAGGAUCGGCUAACUACGUGCCAGCAGCCGC